AGAGUUUGAUUAUGGCUCAGGAUGAACGCUGGCGGCGUGCCUAAUACAUGCAAGUAGAACGCUGAAGGAAGGAGCUUGCUCUUUCCGGAUGAGUUGCGAACGGGUGAGUAACGCGUAGGUAACCUGCCUGGUAGCGGGGGAUAACUAUUGGAAACGAUAGCUAAUACCGCAUAACAGUAGAUAUUGCAUGAUAUCUGCUUGAAAGGGGCAAUUGCUCCACUACCAGAUGGACCUGCGUUGUAUUAGCUAGUUGGUGAGGUAACGGCUCACCAAGGCGACGAUACAUAGCCGACCUGAGAGGGUGAUCGGCCACACUGGGACUGAGACACGGCCCAG
rnacentral:rRNA from 1 species